rnacentral:tRNA from 1 species
CAAGGCAUAGCUCACGACAAAGCAUCCAGCUUACACCCGGAAGACAUCAACAUCUCUUGAUUGCCUUGA